UGGGGAAUUUUGGACAAUGGGCGAAAGCCUGAUCCAGCAAUGCCGCGUGUGUGAAGAAGGCCUUCGGGUUGUAAAGCACUUUUGUCCGGAAAGAAAUCCUUGGCUCUAAAUACAGUCGGGGGAUGACGGUACCGGAAGAAUAAAGCACCGGCUAACUACGUGCCAGCAGCCGCGGUAAUACGUAGGGUGCAAGCGUUAAUCGGAAUUACUGGGCGUAAAGCGUGCGCAGGCGGUUUGCUAAGACCGAUGUGAAAUCCCCGGGCUCAACCUGGGAACUGCAUUGGUGACUGGCAGGCUAGAGUAUGGCAGAGGGGGGUAGAAUUCCACGUGUAGCAAGUGAAAAUGCGUAGAGAUGUGGAGGAAUACCGAUGGCGAAGGCAGCCCCCUGGCCAAGUACUGACGCUCAUGCACGAAAAGCGUGGGGAGCAAAACAGGAUUAGAUACCCUGGUAGUCCACGCCCUAAAACGAUGUCAACU
rnacentral:rRNA from 1 species